UAAAGGACUUACAGGAACAUUACUUAGGAGAUGAAACGUUCCCGGGUUGAAUUCUCACAAUCUAGGCCAAAGUUGGGCGACUUUGACUCAAGGUCUUCUUAAACCACCCUGACAUAAUUUUCAGGCUCUAGCCAGUGAUGCCUCUUUUUUGCAUUUUGGUGGAUGAUAGGAAACUAGAAUUCUUCCAGAGCUGAGGGAAAGUCAGGUGUGUUUUGCUGUCUGUAUGGUGUUGUUUCUUAAGAUGAGUCAGAAAGCUUUCCUUUGAAGGAAAAACCACCGAGGAACACACUGAGUUCUGGCAGCCACUUUCCCUGGUGUCCAGUCCUAAGAGUCAGGUGCAGCCCUUCCUCUCAGAAGACCAAGGGCAGCAGACCCAUCCUCACCCCUGAGAUUGCAGAGCCUGAGUCUUCACCUCACCUAGGGAGUGGGUGACACAGACAACCUGCACAGAAACUCAAAGAACCAAGAGGCAUGGCUCUCCCAUCUUCACCCACCUCUUUGCUGGCUGCACCUCUGUGCACCUGGAAGGACUCCUCCCCAGAAGACAAGGGCUUAUUCGUCGUGUUAUGACAGGUCAGAGGAUUGACUACAAAACACCAGUUUCUCCUUCCGUGUGACAGUUCGUCCAUGUGAGGAAAGCAGAAGCAUCCCACUUGGCCCCCACUGUCCACUGCUGCCAUUCAUUAAACCUGCCGCUUUCUGCAGGUAUGGCGGAGCAGAAUCACUGACUUGUGAAAGCUCUCCAGGCCCUUCCUACAAGCCUCUGGGACAACCAAGACGGUGGCCUUUCAGAGCUGGGAUUGAGGACUUCCUCGGAAGAGCGCGGGUACCCAAACCCCUUCUCAGUCUCCAGUCCUACACUGGUCCUUUAUUCCAUCAUCGUCCUACCGUUUUUCUGACCUUCCCUGGGUCAGAGCAUCGUGGGCCAGAUCAGAGCUCCUCCAAGGCACAGCUUAGACCUUGGUAACCCUGAUACCUACACAGUACCUGCACUUGGUGCAUACAAGUGAAUAAUUUUGGUG
rnacentral:lncRNA from 1 species